rnacentral:rRNA from 1 species
UACGGAGGGUGCAAGCGUUGUCCGGAAUCACUGGGCGUAAAGGGCGCGUAGGCGGCUCAUGAAGGCUGUGGUGAAAGUCCGGGGCUCAACCUCGGAUCGGCCGUGGCGACUCGUGGGCUGGAGCACUGUAGAGGCGGGUGGAAUUCCGGGUGUAGCGGUGGAAUGCGUAGAGAUCCGGAAGAACACCGGUGGCGAAGGCGGGUCUCUGGGCCGAUACUGACGCUGAGGAGCGAAAGCGUGGGGAGCGAACAGG